AAUAACAUACGUGCACAAGCUGUUGGAAACAGCGUACAAACGCAAUCCCGUUUCAACACCAGCAAACGACAACAACAUUAAUAACGCGACAACAACAAUAGUUGCGCUUAACAGAAAUAGCCAAGGACGACAAAAAAUAGAUCAACAACAAACGUCCGAAUUUCAUACAAUUUCAGCUCAAACCUUAUCUCAAUUUUGAAAUUCAAAUCUCAACUAGUUUUUUCUUCUUUACCCCUCCACUUUCCCUCUAAAACAACUCCAAAAUUCACUAUAAAUAUCCACCUAUAUAGAGAGAAAUAAGGAGGAAUUUUUUAAGGGUGAAAAAAAUUAAGGAUUUUGAAGGAGUAUUACUCUAAUCCCACGUAAUCAAGAAGUUGUGAAAAUUCACUUAAAUUUGUUGAAAUAGUCUGAAUUUCCGCAAGAACGAUUCAAGCACGGUAAAUCCAAGUCGAUUUUUGGUGGUAAAAAGCCGUCGUGAUAAGCUCGUAUUCCCAAUUCGCUGCUUCAAAAUGGGUAAAAGGUGGUUGAUAUACGUCCAGAUAUGAGGCAUGAUGAAGCUGGGAGCAAGUAUACAGGGUUUUAUACGCUGUAUACAACGUCUAUAUUGAAAAACGCAGAAAAAACAGGGAUGAUAUACACAAAGUAUACACUACAGAAAGAGGACCCAAAGUCCAUAAUUCAAAGCCCAAAAGCUGGGCAGCUUUAUUGAUGGGCCAAUUAAGGGCCAAACUUCAAUUCUUAUCUUUGUAUUAACUAACAUUUUAAUCAAUUAAUCUAGGUAAACUCCCUAAGAUGUCAUUUUAUUUUA